UAGGGAAUCUUCGGCAAUGGACGAAAGUCUGACCGAGCAACGCCGCGUGAGUGAAGAAGGUUUUCGGAUCGUAAAACUCUGUUGUUAGAGAAGAACAAGGACGUUAGUAACUGAACGUCCCCUGACGGUAUCUAACCAGAAAGCCACGGCUAACUACGUGCCAGCAGCCGCGGUAAUACGUAGGUGGCAAGCGUUGUCCGGAUUUAUUGGGCGUAAAGCGAGCGCAGGCGGUUUCUUUAGUCUGAUGUGAAAGCCCCCGGCUCAACCGGGGAGGGUCAUUGGAAACUGGGAGACUUGGGUGCAGAAGAGGGGAGUGGAAUUCCAUGUGUAGCGGUGAAAUGCAGAGAUAUAUGGAGGAACACCAGUGGCGAAGGCGGCUCUCUGGUCUGUAACUGACGCUGAGGCUCGAAAGCGUGGGGAGCAAACAGG
rnacentral:rRNA from 1 species